rnacentral:rRNA from 1 species
AGAGUUUGAUCAUGGCUCAGGAUGAACGCUAGCGACAGGCUUAACACAUGGCAAGUCGAGGGGCAGCACGGUGUAGCAAUACACUGGUGGCGACCGGCGCACGGGUGAGUAACACGUGUGCAACCAACCCCGUACCGGGAGAUAACCCGCGGAAACGUGGACUAACAUCCCAUGAUACUCGAGAGCCGCAUGGCUCUAGAUUUAAAAUUCCGGUGGUACGGGACGGGGCACGCGCGACAUUAGGUAGUUGGCGGGGUAACGGGCCCACCAAGCCGACGAUGUCUAGGGGUUCGUGAGAGGAAGGUCCCCCACCACUGGAACUGAGACACGGUCCAGACUCCUACGGGAGGCUGCA